rnacentral:rRNA from 1 species
AGCGAACGCUGGCGGCAGGCCUAACACAUGCAAGUCGAACGAACUCUUCGGAUUUAGUGGCGGACGGGUGAGUAACACGUGGGAACGUGCCUUUUGGUUCGGAAUAACUCAGGGAAACUUGUGCUAAUACCGAAUGUGCCCUUCGGGGGAAAGAUUUAUCGCCAUUGGAUCGGCCCGCGUUGGAUUAGCUAGUUGGUGAGGUAACGGCUCACCAAGGCGACGACCAGUAGCUGGUCUGAGAGGAUGACCAGCCACACUGGGACUGAGACACGGCCCAGACUCCUACGGGAGGCAGCAGUGGGGAAUCUUGCGCAAUGGGCGAAAGCCUGACGCAGCCAUGCCGCGUGAAUGAUGAAGGUCUUAGGAUUGUAAAAUUCUUUCACCGGGGACGAUAAUGACGGUACCCGGAGAUGAAGCCCCGGCUAACUUCGUG